UGCCCCAUCUGGCGCGCUCAUCCAUCCCACCUCCAUCCUCAUUCAUACCCCGCCGCCAGCCUCCCUCUCACCGGCAUCCGAGGCGAUGCCGGCGAGGACUGCAGUUCUUCCUCCCUUCUAUGGUGACGACUACCAGAGCUAGGUAGGAGGAGGUCGGGGACCACAGCGGCUACCAAAGCUAGGUAGGGGGUGGGGGACCGGCGGCGGCGCGCUGUGCUUCCCAAGCCACCAGGGAGGGCAACGUUGGGAUGCUUGGCGAACCCCGCACAUUGUCGAUCUUUUCUUCUUUUGCUAAUGUGCAUCGGACCGAGAGGUCUCAUUUGGCGUGCAGCUCCAUGGGCUUUCACAUCUCAAGAAGAACGUUGGAAGAAAGCAAGUAAGAAAGCAUGAAAAGCAAUACAUUUCAGCCCAAGGAACAAGAGCAACCAGCGCAAGUUGUGUGCACGUUACGCGGAACAACAGAUGUGGGUGCAAGAGUCACAUCGGGUGGCCAUUGGCAAUUAGCAGGAAACUAAAGAACCUGAUCAAGCGUGAGUGCACAAGCGAAUAGGCGAGUACAAAAGCCACCGACACAAGACAACCAUCCGAAUAUAAUGCACAUUGUUGAGUGAGUGGAUGAGCACACCAAGAGGAGCUAAGUCGAAAAAGAAAAGAAAAGGAGAACACAUACAACCGCUGAAUGUAUGAAAGGAAUCACUAAAAGCUUAAUCACCAGCUAGCCCACUCUUCUUUUCACAAAAGAGAAGGUUGGUUAGAGGAACAAGAUAUUAUUUUUUAUUGACUAGACAACCUCUUUCUGCUUUAUGUCUGUAUGCUUUCCACAUAGAAUCCUUUAGCCAAGGACAAGCAUGUCCCGAGCUCUGAUCUCCCCUGUUACUUACUGGUUCGAGCACUGAUUUUGAGACCUGAAUCCCCAUUUCAUCAUCACCUCAAUCUGAAUCCUCGAGCCCAGAAGUAGACGUGUUCAAAAAUUAAGCUCAAGCCAUGGAAGCGCUCCUGGAUGUUUUGACAUCCUAUGUGAGCACAGUGCUCGCAGAUAUGGUGAAAGACGAGGUGGGCAUGCUGCUCGGGGUCGCUAGCGAAUUUUAGAAUUUUGAGGGUAAGCUGCGCAGUCUCAAGGCCUUCCUAGCCGACGCUGAGAGGAGGCGCAUCACCGAUGAGCAUGUGCAAGUGUGGGUGGGGAAGCUCAAGAGCGCCAUGUACGAUGCCACCGACAUCAUGGAUCUGUGUCAACUCGAGGCCAUGAAGUGGCGGGAGGAGUCUAUGCCCAUUGAUCCAGACGUGGGGCGCUGCAAACGGUUCUUCUUGUGCCUGCAAAACCCAGUCUUCACCCAUAACAUCAGGAGGAGGAUCAGGGAGCUCAACCAUAGCCUGGAUAACAUCAAGAAGGAUGCUGAGGUAUUCAAUUUCAUCAACCUCGCAUCUUUUGAGGAUCAUCGCAAGGUGGCUCCUCACCUUGCCACCAGGAAGUCUGGCCCAGCAAUUGACCGGUCUGCUAUGGUUGGGGAGAUCGAAGAAAAUACAGGAGGAGAACACAAAGAACGUGAGAUGUCAAGUUGACAAGUACCUUGACCUCAUAUAUUGUGAUGAGUGAUUGUCGUGAUGACUUGGAGGUUUUGGCGUGUUAGCUUGAUUUUGACUUGUGUUUGUGUCAGGCUAA